rnacentral:rRNA from 1 species
UACGAAGGGGGCUAGCGUUGUUCGGAAUUACUGGGCGUAAAGGGCUCGUAGGUGGCCAACUAAGUCAGACGUGAAAUCCCUCGGCUUAACCGGGGAACUGCGUCUGAUACUGGAUGGCUUGAGGUUGGGAGAGGGAUGCGGAAUUCCAGGUGUAGCGGUGAAAUGCGUAGAUAUCUGGAGGAACACCGGUGGCGAAGGCGGCAUCCUGGACCAAUUCUGACACUGAGGAGCGAAAGCCAGGGGAGCAAACGGG